rnacentral:rRNA from 1 species
AUUGAACGCUGGCGGCAUGCCUUACACAUGCAAGUCGAACGGUAACAGGUCUUCGGAUGCUGACGAGUGGCGAACGGGUGAGUAAUACAUCGGAACGUGCCCGAGAGUGGGGGAUAACGAGGCGAAAGCUUUGCUAAUACCGCAUACGAUCUCAGGAUGAAAGCAGGGGACCGCAAGGCCUUGCGCUCACGGAGCGGCCGAUGGCAGAUUAGGUAGUUGGUGGGAUAAAAGCUUACCAAGCCGACGAUCUGUAGCUGGUCUGAGAGGACGACCAGCCACACUGGGACUGAGACACGGCCCAGACGCCGACGGGGGGCAGCAGUGGGGAAUUUUGGACAAUGGGCGCAAGCCUGAUCCAGCCAUGCCGCGUGCAGGAUGAAGGCCUUCGGGUUGUAAACUGCUUUUGUACGGAACGAAAAGACUCUGGUUAAUACCUGGGGUCCAUGACGGUACCGUAAGAAUAAGCACCGGCUAACUACGUGCCAGCCGCCGCCGUAACAC